rnacentral:snRNA from 1 species
AGCUGUGCGCAGUGGCAGUGUCGUAGCCAAUGAGGUUCAUCUCAGGUGCGAUUAUUGCUAAUUGAAAUUAUAUGUACCCAAUGAAUAUAUUACUUUCCAGCUGAUUGGUUUUAAACUCAUGCCAUUUCAAUAAAU